rnacentral:rRNA from 1 species
UACGUAGGGGGCGAGCGUUGUCCGGAUUUACUGGGCGUAAAGCGUACGCAGGCGGUCUGCUAAGUUUGGAGUGACAGUUGGUGGCUUAACUGCCAAAGUGCUUCGAAAACUGACAGACUUGAGGGCUUCAGAGGGACACGGAAUUCCGGGUGGAGUGGUGAAAUGCGUAGAGAUCCGGAGGAACACCAAAGGCGAAGGCAGUGUCCUGGGGAGUACCUGACGCUCAGGUGCGAAAGCCAGGGGAGCGAACGGG